UACGUAGGGUGCGAGCGUUGUCCGGAAUUAUUGGGCGUAAAGAGCUCGUAGGCGGUCUGUCGCGUCUGCUGUGAAAUCCCGAGGCUCAACCUCGGGCUUGCAGUGGGUACGGGCAGGCUAGAGUGCGGUAGGGGAGAAUGGAACUCCCGGUGUAGCGGUGGAAUGCGCAGAUAUCAGGAAGAACACCGAUGGCGAAGGCAGUUCUCUGGGCCGUAACUGACGCUGAGGAGCGAAAGCGUGGGGAGCGAACAGG
rnacentral:rRNA from 1 species